rnacentral:rRNA from 1 species
AGUGAACGCUGGCGGUAGGCCUAACACAUGCAAGUCGAACGGCAGCACAGUAAGAGCUUGCUCUUACGGGUGGCGAGUGGCGGACGGGUGAGGAAUACAUCGGAAUCUACUUUUUCGUGGGGGAUAACGUAGGGAAACUUACGCUAAUACAGCAUACGACCUACGGGUGAAAGCAGGGGAUCUUCGGACCUUGCGCGAUUGAAUGAGCCGAUGUCGGAUUAGCUAGUUGGUGGGGUAAAGGCCCACCAAGGCGACGAUCCGUAGCUGGUCUGAGAGGAUGAUCAGCCACACUGGAACUGAGACACGGUCCAGACUCCUACGGGAGGCAGCAGUGGGGAAUAUUGGACAAUGGGCGCAAGCCUGAUCCAGCCAUACCGCGUGGGUGAAGAAGGCCUUCGGGUUGUAAGGCCCUUUUGUUGGGAAAGAAAAGCAGCAGGUUAAUACCCCGCUGUUCUGACGGUACCCAAAGAAUAAGCACCGGCUAACUUCGUG